rnacentral:lncRNA from 1 species
GAGGAGGCGUCUGUUGGUCGGAGGAGUUCUGAGAUCCGAUGAGGAGGAGAGAGCCAUAAGAAGUGGAUGUGAGAGAAACGAGGUGGUGAGUGUCUCGGAGGAUGGUGAACCAACGGCGUCGGAAAAAAAGAAAGCUUUGUGCUUUUGCCGGCGGAGUGAGAGGAAGAAGUAGAAAAAGAAGAACUCUAGCAUCACUAAAUUUCAUUUUUAGUUUGGUUUCUCAUUUUGGAUUCUUCUGGGAUUCUUGUUCUCUUUUUAAUUGAUAGAGAAGAGAAAGAGAGGUGAAAAAUAGCUGUAUUGGACAACUAGGUGGAAGAUGGUGAAAAUUUAAUGGCAGAAGAAUGAUGAGAUUAGGUUCAUGAAUUGUAAUAUAUUUUGAAAAGUACAUUUCUCUGUUUUGUUUAAAUUCA